CGGCGGCCUGGGGCGUGCGAGCGAGGGCAAACGGGGGGGAAAAGAAGCGGGGUGCCCGGGCUUUAAAGCGACGCGGCCAGUGGGUUUCGGGAAGGCCGGAAUCUCCGGAUUCCGGUGAUUGCGGCGGCGCGGGGAGUCCGGCGCGGGCGGUGCGGGCGCCUUCCAAACGGAGCCUGACAGGUGGGCCCCACCUGUCAGCGUCUCCGCCCGCGCGCGCGGGCGGCCGGGCUGGCGGGGCCGGUUCGGCCCAUUUGGCCGGGCCGGUCCGGUUUUCUCUUCUUCUUUUUUUCCUUUAGCCCUUUUCUUUUUCUGUUUUUCUUAUUUCUUUGAUAUCUUUUGAUUUUGAACUCGAAAUUGGUCCAAACAAAUUCCAGAAAAUUUGUAAAAUCAUGUUCCACCAUGAUACAACUUUUGGGAGUA
rnacentral:lncRNA from 1 species